rnacentral:rRNA from 1 species
GCCCAGACUCCUACGGGAGGCAGCAGUGAGGAAUAUUGGUCAAUGGGCGCGAGCCUGAACCAGCCAAGUCGCGUGAGGGAAGACGGUCCUAUGGAUUGUAAACCUCUUUUGUCGGGGAGCAAAAGACGCCACGUGUGGCGUUCCGAGAGUACCCGAAGAAAAAGCAUCGGCUAACUCCGUGCCAGCAGCCGCGGUAAUACGGAGGAUGCGAGCGUUAUCCGGAUUUAUUGGGUUUAAAGGGUGCGCAGGCGGAAGAUCAGGUCAGCGGUAAAAUUGAGGGGCUCAACCUCUUCGAGCCGUUGAAACUGGUUUUCUUGAGUGAGCGAGAAGUAUGCGGAAUGCGUGGUGUAGCGGUGAAAUGCUUGGAUAUCACGAAGAACCCCGAUUGCGAAGGCAGCUUACUAAACUGUGACUGACAUUGAUGCUCGAAAGUGUGGGUAUCAAACAGGAUUAGAUACCCUAGUA